CAGCUCCUUACAGUGGUACCAGACGGGAAAGUCACCACACAAAGCUGCAAUGUGGUGUUGCCAGGAACCCACAGCCACCCAGGCCUUAGAUGGAGAGGAUGUGGGCACACCAAUCACCCAGCAUCAGGCAGCAUUUACUGGUGCUGCACACAGACAGAGACAUGUUGGUCACACAUACACAAGAGCUCAGAGAUGGGCCCAUGGUAAAGUGUACAAUUUAAACCCCAUCCACUUACAUUCUUGGAAACAUUCUCUCCCAGGUCAAACCCAGAAAAAUGUUCAUUCCAAAUACCAUCGAGAGGCACAAGGAAUUGCAUCACUCUCCUGUGGCUCCAGGGCUGCAGUGUGGCCAGACAAAGAAGAAGGCAUGAGAAGGACAGGAUGCAAAGCUGCAACCCUAAUUGUGACCUUGGAGGACACUUGAGGGUCCUUGGGCUCAAGCAGGAGGGUCACAAUUCUGCACCACAAUUCUCCUCAGCUACUAGCAGAUCACCCAUAGAGACAGUGAUGGUCCUGCUCUGGCAGGGAGGUGGGACUUGAUCUCUUUGGGUCCCUUCUAAUCCCCAACAUCCUGUGAUCCUGUGAAACACAGUGAAACUGGUGCCAAGGCUUCUCACUCUUCCUGAACCAGCAGACCUGAGCACCACUUUGUAUGACCAUGACCACCAGUGUCCAGCUAUCUGCACAGCAGCACACCAGCACUGGUGACAUGGUGAGAAGAAACUGUGCAUUUGCACACUCACGCAGUCACAGCUGCCACCUGUGGACAUGAUCUGGGGUUUCUGCUGAAGAUAAGCCAUGUAUCUUUCAGAAGGUGGGGCCUUCUUUUGGAACAACCAUGAGCCUUCUAUUUUUUUCACCUUUUCAAAGCCUGAACAAAAGAGGGGGGUCACACACUCUUGCCCCUACCUCUGCUUUCCUUAAUGAUGAGGAGCAGCUCCCUCGCCCUCUGUUAAACACUUCGCCUGAAUUCUCAGUGGCAACACAAGAGCCGAAUGGUUCAGCUGCAAGGAUUAAGGAGGUUUGGACAUACACCACAAGACACAUGGUCGAGGAGGAUGAAGAGAGAGGAUUUUUCAGGUGGUUGGUAUGCAGUCACUGGAUUCGACACUUCAAACUACACACAAGAAGCCUCGAUCAAGGCUCACAAGUUCAGCACCUAGACACAGACUGAAGCACAGCACUUGUAAGACCACCAAGAAGUGAGUUACCAUGCCUAUGGUGGGGAAAAAGGCUGGAUUACGGCCAACUGAGUAGUGCUAAUGAGAGGACAAAGGGCCCUCUUCAAUAUCCCCUCUGCCUGUGGUACCAUCAGCACAAAGGGGCUUACCAGAAGUAGGAGCAGGAGAACUCCAGUUAGACAUGUGUCCUUACAGAGUGGUUUGUUGACUCAGUCCUUGUGCUAAGACUGUGCCACAUAUUUUCCAGAAGGAGAUCUGGGGAUACUGCAGGUUGACCUCCGUGCUCUGAUUAGCACCCAGAUGCUCAGUAGUGCUUUCACAAAUACAAAUCAUUUUCUAAACCCUGCUGAAAUAAGAAAUAUCAACCUAAAAACCAACCAAAGCAACCGAAGCUCUUCAGGGACUUCCACACUAACUCUCAUGCCCUUCUGUGCUGCUUAGGCUCACUUUUCCUUCAGUGA